AUUGAACGCUGGCGGAAUGCUUUACACAUGCAAGUCGAACGAUGAACCUUAGCUUGCUAAGGGGAUUAGUGGCGAACGGGUGAGUAAUAUAUCGGAACGUGCCUUGUAAUGGGGGAUAACUAGUCGAAAGAUUAGCUAAUACCGCAUACGCCCUGAGGGGGAAAGUAGGGGAUCUUCGGACCUUACGUUAUAAGAGCGGCCGAUAUCUGAUUAGCUAGUUGGUGGGGUAAUGGCCUACCAAGGCGACGAUCAGUAGCUGGUCUGAGAGGACGACCAGCCACACUGGAACUGAGACACGGUCCAGACUCCUACGGGAGGCAGCAGUGGGGAAUUUUGGACAAUGGGCGCAAGCCUGAUCCAGCCAUUCCGCGCGAGUGAAGAAGGCCUUCGGGUUGUAAAGCUCUUUCGCAAGGGAAGAAAACUUACCAUCGAAUAAAUGGUGAGGCUGACGGUACCUUGAUAAGAAGCACCGGCUAACUACGUG
rnacentral:rRNA from 1 species